UGGGGAAUAUUGCACAAUGGGGGAAACCCUGAUGCAGCGACGCCGCGUGAGUGAAGAAGUAUUUCGGUAUGUAAAGCUCUAUCAGCAGGGAAGAAACCCACCCUCCGGGGUGGCUGACGGUACCUGACUAAGAAGCCCCGGCUAACUACGUGCCAGCAGCCGCGGUAAUACGUAGGGGGCAAGCGUUAUCCGGAUUUACUGGGUGUAAAGGGAGCGUAGGUGGCAAGGCAAGUCAGAUGUGAAAACCCGGGGCCCAACCCCGGGAGUGCAUUUGAAACUGUCUGGCUAGAGUGCAGGAGAGGUAAGUGGAAUUCCUAGUGUAGCGGUGAAAUGCAUAGAUAUUAGGAGGAACACCAGUGGCGAAGGCGGCUUACUGGACUGUAACUGACACUGAGGCUCGAAAGCGUGGGGAGCAAACAGG
rnacentral:rRNA from 1 species